GCCGCGUGCGGGAUGACGGCCUUCGGGUUGUAAACCGCUUUUAGUAAGGAAGAAGCCUUUCGGGGUGACGGUACUUGCAGAAAAAGGACCGGCUAACUACGUGCCAGCAGCCGCGGUAAUACGUAGGGUCCGAGCGUUGUCCGGAAUUAUUGGGCGUAAAGAGCUCGUAGGCGGUUUGUCGCGUCUGCUGUGAAAUCUAGAGGCUCAACCUCUAGCGUGCAGCGGGUACGGGCAGACUGGAGUGGUGUAGGGGAGACUGGAAUUCCUGGUGUAGCGGUGGAAUGCGCAGAUAUCAGGAGGAACACCGAUGGCGAGGGCAGGUCUCUGGGCACUUACUGACGCUGAGGAGCGAAAGCGUGGGGAGCGAACAGGAUUAGAUACCCUGGUAGA
rnacentral:rRNA from 1 species